AUUGAACGCUGGCGGCAGGCCUAACACAUGCAAGUCGAGCGAGCGGCGGACGGGUGAGUAAUGUCUGGGACACUGCUUGAUGGAGGGGGAUAACUACUGGAAACGGUAGCUAAUACCGCAUACCAUCAGAUGUGCCCUGGUGGGAUUAGCUAGUAGGUGGGGUAAUGGCUCACCUAGGCGACGAUCCCUAGCUGGUCUGAGAGGAUGACCAGCAACACUGGAACUGAGACACGGUCCAGACUCCUACGGGAGGCAGCAGUGGGGAAUAUUGCACAAUGGGCGCAAGCCUGAUGGAGCCAUGCCGCGUGUGUGAAGAAGGCCUUCGGGUUGUAAAGUACUUUCAGCGGGGAGGCGGUACCCGCAGAGGAAGCACCGGCUAACUCCGUGCCAGCAGCCGCGGUAAUUC
rnacentral:rRNA from 1 species